UACGUAGGGACCGAGCGUUGUCCGGAAUCAUUGGGCGUAAAGAGCGUGUAGGCGGCCACUUAAGUCCUGCGUGAAAUCUUGCGGCUCAACCGCAAGCGGUCGUGGGAAACUGGGUGGCUAGAGUGCGGGAGAGGAGAGUGGAAUUCCUGGUGUAGCGGUGAAAUGCGCAGAUAUCGGGAAGAACACCCGUGGCUAAGGCGGCUCUCUAGUACGGUACUGACGCUGAGACGCGAAAGCGUGGGGAGCGAACAGG
rnacentral:rRNA from 1 species